rnacentral:rRNA from 1 species
CCUACGGGUGGCUGCAGUGGGGAAUAUUGGACAAUGGGGGCAACCCUGAUCCAGCAAUUCUGUGUGCACGAUGGAGGUCUUCGGAUCGUAAAGUGCUUUCAGCAGGGACGAAGUCCUGACUGUACCUGCUAAAGAAGCGACGGCUAAAUACGUGCCAGCAGCCGCGGUAAUACGUAUGUCGCAAGCGUUAUCCGGAAUUAUUGGGCAUAAAGGGCAUCUAGGCGGCUUUGCAAGUCCGAGGUGAAAACUAUUGGCUCAACCAAUAGCUUGCCUUGGAAACUGCUUUGCUAGAGUAUUGGAGAGGUGGACGGAACUGCACGAGUAGAGGUGAAAUUCGUAGAUAUGUGCAGGAAUGCCGAUGAUGAAGAUAGUUCACUGGACGAUAACUGACGCUCAAGUGCGAAAGCUAGGGGAGCAAACAGGAUUAGAUACCCGGGUAGUC